AGGGAUAGAANAUGAGGGAAUAAGAUCGGAGUCCCUAGGUUUUCCGGAGGAAAAAGCAGCCAGAAAUGGAAGUAAAGGCGAAUGGAGGCGUGAAACCCUUGGAACGAGAGCUGCAAAAGCUUGGAGGCAGAGAGAGGCCUUGAUACAGGCUAUGGAGGUUCUGUUUCGUAUAUUGAUGUCAAUGAGUUUGAUGAUGGGAUCGGCUGACUUGAAAGUGUUUUGUUUGAGUCUCUGAUUCCUUUCAGCUCACAAGUAAGUAAUAGAUCGUCGCUUGCCAUGAGAGGAUCUGAAGAGAUGCAAUGAAAGAAGAUGUGUGAUCAAGAUUCAAGACAACUUGGAUCGGUUUGGAGUUCCCCAUUCAAGAAUUUGAUCUCGGGUAUUAACAGUGAAUAACCAUGCCAGAAACUUGUGUUUAGGGAUGCCUCCCGAGACCCAGAUCACCUUCGAACAAGGCCACCAUUCGUAUGAGUCUUGUUGAUUGUUGUUUAGAUAGGUCCGAAGAAGGUUAACUUGCGUAUCUGAUCUUGCACAAAGCAUAAAGAAGUCGAGCUCUUAUUCCCAGAUGAUGUGGACCUGAGAGAAAUUGCCAAAAGAGAGUCCAGUUAUCCGACCAAAACCUGCAGUUUCUCGCCCAUUCCAUAUCCACCAUCUUUGUCCAAGGGUGUGUAAAUUGAUGUUGCCAACUCCAAGGCCAUAGAUAAAUGAUAAAAACAGAGGACAGAUCCAAAGUCCUUUCAUGCGCUAUUGAGGCAAAAAAAAUACAGGAGCAGUUAGUUCGUUGAAAGACGUUUCUUUCAGUUGCUUCUCUUGAUCAAGUGCUCGACGAUGGACAACGCGUUCUCUGAUCUAAUACGUGCAUUCGGGAGUUUAACAAAGAAUCUAAAAAGAGGAGUCGUUCAGAGCUGCUGACCUGGAUGGUGACUAUUGACGAGUUGGCUGCGCUUCUUUCUCUAGCAACUAGUGAGACCCUUGAUUCACUUGUCCUAACAAGUCAGUUUGUAGCUCCGGUAAUUUAAAAGUCUCCCAAUCCACGGUGUGUGGUGAAGCUCUGCUUCAUAUGACUCUCUCUCUCUCUCUCUCUCUCUCUCUGUUUUGACCAAGGAACAGGUAAUCAGAAGAUGACCGGAAGGUUUUUGACUUGACUGAUAAGACAAGCUUUCAUAUGGAUGGAUUUUCAAAUUUUAAUUGAAUGGACACAUCACAUAUUGUGGUGGUUGACCGUGUGGCGCUAUGAUUGUUCUUAUUUACCAGAGUCGGAAAAUUGGGCUUCGACUUAUGUGGAUCAGGGGACUUUUACCCCUCAAAUAAUUGAUCAUGACCAUUCUAACGUUUUAUAUUGGAUUGUCACUUGUCACAACACAGUUUCGUUGUGCCUAGAAGCUUCACGUCCUCUCCACCAAGCCAUUCUAACAAAGAUUUUGGAAAGUUACUAGUGCCCUAUCAUCAUGCUAUAAUGUGUUUGGAGUUGUGAUUUUUUGUAUGUUGCAGGAUCAUGCUCAAGUCAAGUAAUCCUCCUACACCACUUUUCUUUGAGACAUUUUAAAAAACCCUAGGAGAGCUGAGAUCUCAAAAUAAAGUAGUAGAAGAAGGAAUCGAAGAGUUCUCAGGCGGCGCGUUGAAGAAGAGAUGGAAUCCACCAGAUCUCAACGGGAGAAGAGGAAAUCCUCCGGUGAGGCAGAUGCGAGGGGAAAAAGGACAAGAUCGGAGUCAAAUGAAAACCGUCCUCUUCUUUCCAAAAGCUCCAGUGCCAAAAUCAAGGAGAAGAAGAAGAAGAAGGUCAGAUAGGUUUUGAUAAAAAAAUGAAGAGCAGAGAGACACACGUGUGAGUAGGGACACGUGUACUGGUGUGAAGUGUUGACACGUGAAAAGGAAGGAGCUGAAAUUACUGUCUUAUAAGAGCAAAAUGAUGUUAUGCGGAGUUUUAUGAAUUUAUUGUUUUCUCUUUUCUUGUUUUGGUGACUAUGUUCUUUAUCGUUUUGCUGGAGCUUCUGGGUAUUAUCGUUAAUAUGUUUAUCGAAUCUAUUAAUUGCCUGUUUGAUUUCUAUUUUUACGUUUAUCACUUUCGGAGUCAAGGUUGGCCUUUUGAAGUUACGAAGCCCAUUUAAUUUUAAAAAUCCCAGAUUGUAGUCUC